UCCACCCUUCAAAUAUGUGCUGUCUUCUGUGAUAACUAUUAUAAACAGAUGGGUCCAUUUAAUGUUGCUUAUGCCUAUGUAUGUAUUUGAGUGUUUAGUGCUAUCAGUUUGGGAUUAGAUAACUUAUGAGGAGGUUUACCCCUGGAGAAAAUGCAUUCUCCCUCUCUCUACAACCAUUUAUUGCCUGUAGCUCUUGGUCUAUGGUAGCAUAUCAUAGGGGCUGUCAUGAUGCAGGUCCUAUUUGGGGAACUAUAGUGAGAUUUCACUCACUAUAUCACCCCUGCUAUGUCUUGAAGAAACUAUCUAGCAGCAUAUAUCCUGUCCCUCUGGUUCUUAUACUCUUUCCACAUCUCUACCAAAAUGUUCCUGAGUCUUAGGUAUAGGAGUUGUCUUGUACACGUACUAUUUGGAAUCUCACAGUUUGUCCUCUGACCUUCGUAUGCAAACUGAGGCAUUAUCAGUGGUGCCUCCAAAGAGAAUACGUGUGAAGAUUUGUAUUUAAUCUUCAAUUAGGUAGAUUAUUUCAUGUUGCUUUGGGUCCCCUUGUCUGUAAAUGUUCUGUUACUCCUGUCUCUCCAGGUCUUUCUAUGGUUUAAUUUCCCUUCUAGGGAAGACCCUUCAGCAGCCACCCCAUCAUCCUGUCCAUUAGAUCUAGUCACAUGUACUAAGUCCAUGCACUUUUACCCACAUCAAGCAAGGAUGCUGCAUAAGCAAUAAGCAGUACCAUGAGCUGACAGUCACUCUCUGUCCCCCUAGAAAUACCUGAACAUGAUGACAGUGUGUCUUUAUCAAAGGAGCAGAAACCACCAGAGCAAGAAAUGGAGGUGGAGUGUGGAAACCUCACAGAUAGUAUGUAUUAUGGAAUCUCUUUCAAGACACAUGUUAGAUAAGAAUUAUUUAAAUGCUCACUGUAUUUUCUACGGUAAACCAAUGUGAUAUUAGACUCCAAUUGGGAGUGAAAAUUAAAAGUUUAAGAGGAAAAAGCAAUGCCCUAAGUAGCCAGUAAUACCUAUGUGUCUGCAGUCAUUACAUUCAGCUCUGAUAACUUUAGUUAUUUUGGCAUUUUUGUGCAGGCAGUGUCUAAAAAGAUUGUUUUCCAAAACAGUUAUCCUUAUAAUACAAUCCACUUUCCAGUGACAAAUUUUUCAAUUCAAAAGGCAAGAUAUAUAUUUUUAAUUUAUUUUCCAUUUUAUAUAUCAAUCCCAGUUCCCUUCUCUCCAUCCACUCCUCAGAUAGAGUAGGCCUUCCUUGGAGGAGUAAACAAAGUCUGGCAUACCAAGUUAAGGCAGGAUCAAGCCUCUCCCCACUGUAUCAAGGAUAAACAAGGUGUCCCAUCUUAAGGAGCGGGCUCGAAAAAUCCAGUUCAUGCUCCUAGGAUAAGUUCUGGUACCACUGCCAGAACUCCCCCUCCCCAGCCCCACCAGAUCAAGUUUUACCUACAAAAAAAGUGUUCAAACCUCACCAUACAGAUGUGUGACAGAUGUGUUUUCUUGUGCAGCUUUCUGAAGAAUCUUAGACCAAAUGUAAGGUAAUCAGUCUUCGUAGUUAUAGAGAUCAGGAAGCACUUCCUACUUCAUCAAGAGCUCAAGAAUCCCUAUGUGAGAGUUACAGGUGCCCAGCAUCUGCCCGCAAUAAUCCAGCCCUAGGGAGAUGCCAGACGAUGUUGAGCCCCACAGUGGGCAGAAGGCAAGGGCAUUGCUCUUUACCUGCCUGUGAAUGCUCACAAGUACUAUAGAUGGAAAAUCCAUAAGUUUGGUCAGAUCAGAGAGAUUGACUAUAUGAGACAUUACAUUGAAAAAUAGGUUGGAUAUAUGUGAUAACUGGAUUUAUGGUAGAGACAACCCGUUCCAGUAUGAACCGGUGGAAAGGCUUAACAGAUUAGACAACAUUAACAUAAGAGCCAUACAAUUUAUGGGCAAAGUCCACUAAGAACUCCAGACACCUAGUGACUUUUGAGCUUCACUGGGCCUUUAUUUUGGAUACAUACAUGCAUAUAUAUAUAUAUAUAUAUAUAUAUAUAUAUAUAUAUGCUGGAGUUUGUAUUCCAAUAUUACUGCUAUGACUCACCAGUCUCCAUGAUGUCUGCUAAGUCUGAGCACUCAUUGGAACGAUAUGUGCAGUAGUGAGUUACUCAGGCAGAGUAUGGCUGGGUAUCAUCAUUUUGAAGAUGGUGGCUGUGUUUGAGUACCCUCACAGUCAGGAUUUGUCAGAGAGGGUCUAUGUGAGCAGGAAUGUAUAGACCAGUUGGUUUAGUGUGUUCCUAGCAUGUGCAAAGCCCUGGAUUUGAUCCCAACAACUGUGUAUGUGCCCAUGGUAACACACCUCUGUAAAUACAGUUCUUCAGAGCUGGAGUGGAGAUAAUCAUAAAUUUAAACGUAUCCUUUCAUACUAAGGAAUCUUGCAUUCAAGGUGUUUCUGGAAGUUAAAAAAAACAUAUAGGGAAGUCAGCUGGGCUCAGUUGCCCCUAUAGAGCCUGUGGCACGAAAAAGGAGUAACAUUAAUGAGUCAAAGUAGAGUGGGUAUGGUACACACUUAGUGCUAAUAUAAACUCUGCCCACUUUUAUCUGCAUUGUCCAUAUACUGUCUGAGGAUAUUUGUCAUCUAGAAAAACUCGUGCAUACAUAUCACUUAAAUGCCAAACUGCUUUUCUUAUCUGCUCAUGUUGAAGACCUAAAGAUUCGGCCAGUUGAAGAGAAGUUUCAUUUUUGUCAAACCAUCAUUCGAUAACAUGUUUUAGAAUGAUUUGGGGUCUGAGUAUUUCUAAGGGCUAUGCAAGAAUCUAUAAUCUCUCAGUGUGGUUGCUGGGUGAUCAAAAUUAAUCACUAGGAGGGAUAUGACGGGUUGUAGAUGCAGGAGAAAGAUGUCGUAUUUGUACUAAGCCAGUGCUCUCUACUUGUUUUGGAACAAACUCCAAUUUUGAGUAGUUAUUGGAAGGUAGAGAACAUGUCUCUCAGGACGCUUGUCAGAAGUUUGGUUACAGUGACAGGAAUAUAA